rnacentral:lncRNA from 1 species
GUCUCAGAAUACAUUGAUACCUUUUUUGAGGACUUAAAGCAGCGUCUUGGCCACAGGUUACAGCUCACAGAUCUGUUGAUCAAACCAGUGCAGAGAAUCAUGAAGUAUCAGCUGUUACUGAAGGACUUCCUCAAGUAUUCCAAAAAGGCCAGCCUGGAUACAUCAGAAUUAGAGAGAGCUGUGGAAGUCAUGUGCAUAGUACCCAGGCGGUGCAACGACAUGAUGAACGUGGGGCGGCUGCAAGGAUUCGACGUAAUGCGGCUCUUGUUUUUUAAGAGAGCUCCUCUGCCUUCAUCUCUUUCUUUUGUCUUGGAUUAUUUCUCUCCACAUAGAGAAAGCUGAUCCUUUUCACUUGGUUUUCUGGCUUCUCUCACUUUACCUCAAUCUGAUUGAUAUUUUAUUUCCUUUUUUUUUUUUUUUUUUUUUUUGG